AGACGUCUACAUUAGAUACCCCUGUAGUCCCAGCCGUAAACGAUGCGCGUUAGGUGUAUCGACGACCACGAGUCGUCGAGGUGCCGAAGGGAAACCGUGAAACGUGCCGCCUGGGAAGUACGGUCGCAAGGCUGAAACUUAAAGGAAUUGGCGGGGGAGCGCAACAACGGGUGGAGCCUGCGGUUUAAUUGGACUCAACGCCGGACAACUCACCGGGAACGACAGCAAUAUGUAGGCCAGGCUGAAGACCUUGCCUGAAUCGCUG
rnacentral:rRNA from 1 species